UUUUUUUACCCCGGCCAUCCAGGUUUCAUUUGGUGAGCGGCACUAGUGAUAGAGAGACGUAAAUCAUUAAACAUUAGGGAAAUAUUGUCAUUUAAAAGUUUAGUAAACUUUCUCUAAAAGAUGAAUUUGUUAAUUGGAUUUUGUUUGUUGACACUUGUUGUAUAUCAAGUCUCCGCCUUGGAAUGCUAUCAGUGUGUCUCCGGAUGUAAUGAUGAAUUCAGCUCUAGUGGUGUCUCCAAAGUCACUUGCUCUGGCUCAUGCUCGAAGACUAAAGCAAAAGACCAAGUUGUCAGAGGAUGUAUACCAAUUGUCAAGACGGACGACUGCGAAGAAGAAGGGGAUGCAGCGGUGUGCUUAUGCACUUCGGACCUUUGCAACGGAGCUUCCGUGAAAUACAUGUCAACAUUCGGCCUUAUUACAGUUGUUGCAUGUGUCAUUCUAAAUACCUUCAAAAACAUCUUGUAAUGUUAUUAUUGUUUUUUUUUUGUUUUCAUAUAUGCUAUCAAAGCAUAACCAUGACUUGAAGUGUAUAAAACUUAAGUGCAUAAUUUGCAAUAGUUUUUUAUUUAUUUUUAUUUAAAGCAACUAUAUCAUAGGUAAAUACAACUAAUAAAUAGAAAGACUUUUUGUUUGUUUUUUUCGUUCAAUUAAGUAGUUGUUUACAUUUUACAUCAUGAUAUCAAAAGACUUUAACGUUGUAAUUGACAUUCAAAUUAAAAAUGUGAAUUACCAUUGAAAUGUUAAAGAGAAAUAUAAAUAAGUAACAAUAAGCAAAUUCCAAAUGUUCUUUUUUAUUUAUAUUAAGAGGCGAAUUUCUUUAUGAAUCCAAUAUGUCAAUUAAAAAACUCGUGAAGUUAAGGUCAGUUUUCUUAUGCCGUUGGUCAUAUGUGUUUGAUAUCAGAAACACUCCAAUUUUGAAAUCGAGUUUGUAAAUAACAUGAAAGUAUACUUGUUUUUUUAAUGAUAUGGCACUUGUACAUGUUAAAGCUUUAUACCCUUUGACGACAUUUUUUUAUCAAGUUUAUUGUUUUGUCUGAAGUCACUUGUUUGAAAAUAGUCUUUGUCCUACUUUUUCGCCGAAUUGGGAUAUCUUAAUUUGAAUUCUUCUGACAGUUUAUUGAACUAUUUAAAUGCUGUGUCAAUUUAGAUAUCACCACGUGGGUGCAGACAAUAAAUAUAGAUUAAGGACUAAGUUAGACAAACGUUUAUAAGAAAAAAAAAGAAAUAUAACGCUGCCUCUAUUUAGAUAUGACUAUGCGUGUGUAAGAAAAAGUAGAUCUAGGACUAAUUAAGUUAGAUGCUAAUAAGAAGAAAAAGAGGAAACUAAAGGCUGAUUCUAAUGAGAUAUGACUACGCGUGUGAAAUAAAAGAAGAUCUAGGACUAAGUUAGUUAGAGGCUUAUGAAGAAAAAAAAUCAAACGCUGCGUCUAUUUAGAUAUCACUACGUGUGUGUAGAAAAAGUAGGUCAAGGACUAAGUAAGUUAGAAAGACGCUUGUAUGAAAAAAGAGAAACUUCUUAAGCAGCUGCAGUUGCUCGUGUUCCUUUUUAGCUGUUUUAAUCGUUUUAUUAUUUUUUUUAUAAGCGUCUAACUAUAAAAUAAUGAAUGACUUUAAUUGUAUAUAUAUUAUUAAUCGCUACAUUAAAUACUUGCACUCGUCACCGUCAUUUAGUUAGACAUUUCAGUAAGGACAAAACAUGGAUUUUAUUCAUCUAUUCACAAUAUGUAUGCCAUGUAUAGUCAUAUAGAUAAACAAUUCUUCCUGUUAUAUUUCUUAGCAAAAAUUAUUCAACAAAAAAUAGAAUAAACCUUUUUUACAAGAAAUCGUAUA